UACGUAGGGUGCAAGCGUUAAUCGGAAUUACUGGGCGUAAAGCGUGCGCAGGCGGUUAUGUAAGACAGGUGUGAAAUCCCCGGGCUUAACCUGGGAACUGCAUUUGUGACUGCAUAGCUAGAGUACGGUAGAGGGGGGGAUGGAAUUCCGCGUGUAGCAGUGAAAUGCGUAGAUAUGCGGAGGAACACCGAUGGCGAAGGCAAUCCCCUGGACCUGUACUGACGCUCAUGCACGAAAGCGUGGGGAGCAAACAGG
rnacentral:rRNA from 1 species